ensembl:lncRNA
AUUUACACUGUGGAAACUGGCAAAUGCCACACAUCAGGGCUUCACAUUUCUUCUGAGUCUCAAAAAUGCCAUGGAGAAUAUAUCAAAUAUCAGACAGAACUCAGCGUUGUUCCACACUUCACAGCAGAGAGCUAAGAAUUUAUGAACUCAAGCAUUGUGGAAUAUUAAGGCUUAUAGUUGGGGGAAAACAAUGUGUGGAAUCAGAAGUGGAGACUCGAGGCAGAAGCAAGGGCGGAGGAUCGAAAACGGCCCCUUGUGAUCUGCAGCUCCUAUCUCAGCCAGGAUCGGCUCCAAACAGGCCUCGGUUGCAGAGAAGACGCAGUCGGAGGCCAGCUUCCUUGUUAAUCAGACACGAAGCUGCUGUGUGCGCAGCCCUGAGGUCCAGGCUGCUGAAGGCGCUGAUAGCUGAGGCAGAAGCACGGGAGAGCCUGAUAACGGGGCCUCUGGCGGGCCGUUCUCGUGCUUCUGGCUGCCAGAGGUCAAGCCUGGCUCGGGGACCUGAUUCAUGGCCUGGAGGUGGAGGGAGCGGGGUGGGGCUUUCCCUUUCUCAGCCUGUCUAUAAUUUACCCUGGUUUUCUGUCUGGCUCCCCUCCGCUUCAGAAGGGAGACUGGAGGGCUUGCCUACACUACACGACAACAGAGUCCUAGGGAACUUUCUCAGUCGGUAUUUCGAAAUAAGCACUGGAGGCAGCCUGUCAGGCUGCCGUUCCCAUUGUUUUGACCAAGACGUUUUUUCUCCCCCAAAUGCGAAAGCUGGCGCUGUAGGAACCCACCCCUGGCCCUUUAUACAAACAAACCCUGGGCUGCGAGCUACAGCCGGAAGCAAGAGACCUGCUCCCGCUGAAGGUGCUGACAGCUCACCUCAAGGCUCCCUUCCAGCAGGCAGACGGGGAGCGAGGCUGCUGGGACUCCCGCCACUGGAUACAGGGUUUUUCAACGCCUGUGCUCCUUAAGCUGGGUCCUGCUCCCCAGUCUCCGGGCCAUCCCCCUGAGAUGAAAAGGUUGG